CCUCCUGGGGGCGCGGCGCGGCACGGCACGGCGCGGCACGGCACGGCACGGCGCGGCACGCUCCGCCCCCGGCCCGAGGGACGCCGGCGGAGGAGCUCCCGCACCCCGCCCCGUACCGCACCCCGCUGCAGAAGGCCGAGGUCGCGUCUAAACCGGGAUGAGCAUUUCUAGGAGGAACGCACAGUGCUGCACAUACAGCUAAUACAGAAGUUACCAGAGCAGGCAAGUGCUGCUGAAGGCCAAUAAACAGCCCCAGGUGGUCAAACAAAAAAGAAGACAGGAGUUGCUCACAAUUCUUCAGUAACUGUGAACUACUGUUGUGCCCAGUUAUUAAAACAAGGGGAAAAAUA